ensembl:snRNA U2 U2 spliceosomal RNA
AUCGCUUCUCGGCCUUUUAGCUAGGAUCAUGUGUAGUAUCUGUUCUUAUCAGUUUAAUAUCUAAUAUGUCCUCUAUCCAAUUUGGGUGACUUUUAUUUAUUUUUUCUGCUUUAUCACUCUGUCUGGGACUUCCAGGGCUAUGAAUAAAAUUGGCUAGAGGGGCUCCUGGGUGGCUCCGUCGGUUGAGCGUCCCACUUUGGCUCAGGUCAUGAUCUCACA